GAGUGGAAGAGACUGGGUCGGUUUUACAACCCGCCCCAGAGGACAGGCGGUUUCAAAGGAGGGGCCAGAGCUUGCAGACUGGUAGGAAUGCAGAACAGCUAUUCAGCAUGUGGUGCGAAGGAAACUCUUAUCAUCCUGUUCAAAGACUAGAGCUGAGGCCACAUAAUGUUCCCAGGCCAAGCCUGCUUGGAAGAGAAUAUCAAAGGAGAUGUGAAAAUCAGCUCUAAGUCAAGGAGUGGUGGAGGUGCUUGUACAGCAGGGGGUGUGAUAACCCUUAAGAAUCUCACCAGCUCUUCUACAGUGAGACCUCCUGGCUGCUCAGGGUCUAUCUCAGUUGUCCAGGUGGGCAGCA
rnacentral:lncRNA from 1 species